GACGAACGCUGGCGGCGUGCCUAAUACAUGCAAGUCGAACGCAGUGGGGACGGGUGAGUAACACGUGGGUAACCUCCCAUCAGAGGGGAUAACACUUGGAAACAGGUGCUAAACCGAUACUGAUGGAUGGACCCGCGUGGCAUUAGCUUGUUGGUGAGGGAACGGCUCACCAAGGCCAAGAUGCAUCGCCGACCUGGGAGGGUGAUAGGCCACACUGGGACUGAGACACGGCCCAGACUCCGACGGGAGGCAGCAGUAGGGAAUCUUCGUCAAUGGGCGAAAGUCUGACCGAGCAACGCCGCGUUGGUGAAGAAGGUUUUCGGAUCGGAAAGCUCUGUUGUUAGGGAAGCGGUAUCUAACCAGAAAGCCACGGCUAACUACGUGCCAGCAGCCGCGGUAAUUC
rnacentral:rRNA from 1 species